UUUUAUUAAAAGAAAAAGGGGUGAAAAGAACAAAGUUUUGUCCAUCUUUGUUCAUCAUAGCUGAAAGUUAGAGAAGAGAAAGGAGAGGAGAAAGCUCUUGAGUAUUCGGUCACUUGGGGAAGAAAAUUGAAGGUAAGUUCAUGGUAGUUUGCUUCUAUCUUGAUGUUCAUGAGUUCUUCUUGAUUCUACCUUAACUCUUGAAGCAUAUUUUGGUUUUUGGUUGUGUUGUGAGCAUUUGGUCAUGAAUUAAAAUGAAGGAAAUGGUUGUUGUUUUAUGUUCUUUUGAUGAAAAAUGGAAGAUAUGUGAAGUUGAGCCAAACAAAUGAGCAUGCAUGUGCUUAGAUGCUAAGGGGAAAAAUCGGCUAAUAUGUUGUGCUUUAAAAUGAUGAAAUGGAGAUUAUACUUAAGUAAAAUCAUAGAUAUGUGAUGAUUGAUUGGUGAUAUACAUGUUUUAAAAAAAACAUGCAUGUAAGUUAUGUGUGAAAGAGUGAUUUGGUAAUAAAUCUGCUUGGGACCGCAGCAGUAACGUGACUUUGGAAAAUUACCAUAAAUUGUGGGAGAUGAGUUAGAAGCUGCAUAAAUUAUGUAAUUAAAGCUUAAUGAGUCUAGUUUCAAAUGGAAUAAACGAAAACAUAUUGUGAAUUCUGUACAAUGAGAAAUUUGAUUCGUAAUGAAGAGUGGUCAGAUUAGUCAAACAGUGAAACAUGCGAAACUUUGAGAAAAAUCUGGUAUUGAUUGGCCAAACCAAAAAUUCUGAAAAUUUUAUGGAUAUAAGAUAUAUGAGUCUAUUUUUAGGGAAAAUUAACGGCACUUGAUUUGGAGUUUCGUAUCUCCAAUUAUAAAUGAUUUAGUGACUGUUGCCAGGAAGACAGCUUGCAGUGAAAUUAUGAUUAUGUGGUAAACAUUGACAAAAAUUUGUUAAUGAGUUGCUUAUUGAUUUCUUAUAAGCUUACUAUGAUCUGUAGGUGUGGUUGGCCAAAUAUUGUAAAGGGUUAAUACGUAGUUUGUAUUUGAAUAGUUAGAUUAACGUGUUAGUAAUCCAAUUGUAGGCGGUUCGUGUGUGGAUCUCGUCAGCAUAUCGUCGCAAACAGGUGUGUAACUAACACCCUCUUUCUUAGUCUAGAUCGGCAAAAGUCGAAAAGCCGAAAUACCGAAAACCAGUAUUUUGUAGAUUUGCGAAUGUGCGAAUGCUCGUGAGGUAAAUCGAUUAAUGUUUUUGGUAAGCUGCAAAAUUUGGACUGCAAAGUGCAUGAUUUCUGUGCCCUCGAUAUUUUUGGCCUUAAUGGGCCAAAAUUGGAAUGAUGGGCCAACGGGCCCAAUUCGGUAAGAACCCUCGAUACGUGAUUCUUUAGUACGUGAAAGGUAGGAAUAUGCAUGAAAAACCCUAAAAAUAGAUAAAUUACUGAAAUACCUUUAAAAGUGAAAAAUUUACAGUUUUACCCCUAAGAGAUAAAUUAUCGAAAUACCCCUAGGGUUAAAUUGACCUAAAUGCAUGUUUGACUAUUGUUAUUUACUGCAUGCCAUGUUGUUAUUAUCUGAUGCAUGGGACUGGGAUAUUGACAGAGGAAGUACUGAAAGUGGCUUAUCCACGUACUGGAGGCUUUGCCUCAAUUUAUUGUUAACUGAGCAGCAAGGCUGCAACUGUGGAGUGUUGGGCUGGGUGGGUUGAGCUAUUCCCCACAUGGAGUGUAUGGCUGGUACGAGUGGAGUGUAGUGGUUGGUGGGUUGAGUAGUCUCCCCAAAUGGGCUUGCAUAUGUUAUUGAUGUUGCAUGUAUUUUGAAAUGGGCCUAUGGGCCAUACUGUUAUCUGAAUAAGGGGCUAAGGCCCAGUUUAUUGUAAUCUGAAAAGGGCUCUGGCCCAGUACCAUGUUACCUGAAUAGGCUUAGGCCCAAUAAGCUUAGGCCCAAUAGGCUUGAGCUGACUUGGGCUUUGAAUGGGUUUUCCUUACACACUGAGUUUCCCCAAACUCACCCCUUUUAUUUUCAUCCACGCAGGAAAUCCCCAACCAUAGUGGGCUUGGAGCUGUGAGGGAAUUCGGAGUGGCCACCCGUUCUGAAAGUUUGAUUUUCUUCUGGUGAACUGGACAUCUUUUUAAUUACGUUUGAAGUUUUUGGGCUUUUAAAUGUAAUAAGGCCACUUAAUUAUUUUUGAUGGUUUUAAUAUGUAUUACUAAGAUAGGUAAUACUUAUUUUAACUGUUGAAAUUGGAUAGCUUUAGGGCACGUUUUCAAAAACAACAGUUGAUUUCAAAAUAACACGACAACAAGCAAAGCUUCCACAAUGAAAGUAUUUUCCAAAAUUAAUCACUUUUCCUAAAAAUGACUUAAUCAAAUCGGUUUCCUAGAAAUAUCCAUGACGUUAAGGUGUGGCAAUUGCGGUAUGCAUGUCUAGGAUUGGAUCCGAAGGGAGCUUGGUACUUAAGCAGUCCGAUGGACUCACCACCUCUUUUCCGGUUUCCUACCUGGUGCACAGCUUCCAUUCACCUUAACCCUUAAUGAAUUAAUCUUUUGAACAUCAAGUACGAUUUUUUGGACUUAGAAUGAUUUUUUUUUUACGUUUUUGAUGUGGCAUGCCGGAUCCGGCCAUAACUUCUGGGUCGGGUAAUGGGUGCUACAGAAUCUCUGUUGUCUUGAGCUCUUCGGCUAACUCCUGACCAAAUUUAGUACAUUUGAAUCUCUUCUUUAUAUAUUUUGAUUUUUUUUUACAUUAUCAUUUUCCCUUUCUUGAUAGGUCCUAUUUGGGUCUCUUUGAAAUAGGAGAUUUUCUUUCUUUCUUUUUUCUACUUUUGUUUGCUUUUAUUGUAGUUGAGGACUUGAGGUGAUAUUUGGUUGCUGCUUCAAAGUAAGGAUGUUGAAUAGCCAAAUUUUAGAUUUUUU
rnacentral:lncRNA from 1 species